UCAGAACUCUCAGGUUAGAGAAGAGAAGACGGGCCCUGCUGCGUGCAUCACACGGGAGAGACGCAGGUCUGCUUUGGGUAAAGCCUCAGGCUCUUGAGGAAGGAAGCCAGGAAGGUGUAUCAGCAAAGCCCCCGAAGAUUCUGGGCCUGUGAUGAGGACCACAGAGGGGACCCGGCACCAGAACUCUGACUUUAGCCUCCUAGGGAGCUCACCAGCUUGUCACCUGGAGAAACUGGCAAAAGACAGCAGCCUCCACAGUGCGUUCCUUAUGGCCUGGACAGCUGGCAGAGGCCCUGGGGCACUUUCCUGAUGUCUGGGAACAAAAUGGGUACACGAGUGUUCCAGAGGUUCCUGUGAAGACCUGCAACUGGGCAGAAGUACAUCAAAGGCCUCUCAAGACGAUCGAUUGGACAGGAAGUCUCAAAAGGCAUCUUUUUUUUUUUUUACUGAAAAGUGGUGGACGCUCUGCUGAAGGAUGAGAGUUCUUUCAAGAGAAAAAUAGGCUCAUGUCGUUGUAUUUGCUGAAGGGUUGGCCCUUCAGGAGACGUGAUGCUUACCACUCCCUCUCAAGUCCGAGCCCCAGUGUCUCCCCACAACGAUCUCCAAAGCCUCUACCUGCUCUCUCCGGUGCCCACCCUCCCAUCACAUUCUCCACACAGCUGCCAGAGCCAUCUUUUUAUUUUGGCUGUACCAUGAGGCUUGUGGGAUCUCAGUUCCCCGACCAGGGAUUGAACCCUGGCCACAGCAGUGAAAGCCCAGAAUCCUCAAAUGAAAAGGAAAAUGAAACCAUGCUCCCUCCACAGCUGAAAAUUCUCUAACAGCACUUGAUAUCAUUUUAUGAACAUAAAUGAAUAAACAAAGCCCAGGGAUCAGCAGAGAUGUUCUGGAAUGGACCACAAAAAGCCCAGGAAUCCUGUCUGCCUUGUUUACUCUGCAUCCUGCACCUAGUACAGUGUCUGGCACCUGGAAGGCAUGCAAGAAAAUAUUUGUUGACUGACUCAGUGACUGAAUGAAAGAGCUCAAAGCGUUUUACGUAUGAGGUCUGAUCCUAGUUGAAAUUCUCUGCUUGUCCAUCAUAGAACCUUAAAAGUGACUUGGAACCCAGCUUGGAUAACCGAAUCAGCUUUAGCUAAUGGACUUAAAUCAAUUUAGGCAAAAGCCAAUCUGUCAACAGAAGAAUUUGGACCAAAUGAGAUUUGGUAGAACAUUUUGCUACUAUAUCAUGGAAAGAUUUCUCAGUUCUUUAUCUUUUAUCCAUUUGGUCUGUUUUUCCAAAAUGUUUGCUUUUUACUUUCUACUUCUUAGAUUUUAAUGAACUUUUGGCUGAUUCUCUAGGGAAACAUAAUUUAAACAUCCAACAAUAAAAAUUUUAUUGAGAAAAUCAGA